rnacentral:lncRNA from 1 species
CUUCCCCAAGCUCGGUUGGCCCUGUUCCUCCUCCCCUUCGCUAGCAGCUGCGCCUAGCCCGGGACUGGACCGAGUUAGAGUUGAGGCGCCGGAGGAGUAGCGCAGAGUGCGUGCGUCCCCCGCGGGGGGGUCCGUGCCUGCGAGCGGCGGGGAGCCGGGCUCCAGCCUAGUUUGGUGCAGCCUUGGCAGAGACCGACAAGGAGAGGGAGCUCUAUUAACACACUGUUUUUGUGGAGGGCGGCAAGUUGAUACAAGAAGAGCAGGUUCCCCAAAGAGAGCAGGGGAAAAGUCUUGGAGUAACUUAUUAAGGUAAACAGAUUGCAGUGGAUUUCUGAAUGGGUAAGUGUUGAUGAGCAGGAUUUUUCUGCUUCUGCUAUUCACUUUUUUCUUUAUAAAUUCUUUUUAAAGAAAUACACAGAAGGCUGCUUCUAGCUUUGCGCAGAGGUUCAGUGGUAUCCC